CUUUAUUGUUGGAAAAACCUCCAUAACUAGAGGAUAUAUCAGCUGUUUUGGUGAACCCCUCCCUUGUCUGAACUGGCUGACACAGAGGGCACAGCAUGAUCAUAGGUCGGUGGUGGCUGGUCCAGUCCAGGAGUCUGAGGUGCGGGUGGUUCCUCCGCCCCCUCUAGACAUCGAGGGGGCCCCGGCGUAUGCAGUUUGAUCCAUACUGGACUCGAGGCGUCGGGCAAGGGUCCUUCAGUACCUCGUGGAGUGGGAGAGAUCUCUCCGGAGGAGAGAUGCUGUGUGCCGAAGGCUCUGGGCUGUAAUUGCUGCCAAAG
ensembl:lncRNA